rnacentral:rRNA from 1 species
GAGGAAUAUUGCCCAAUGGACGAAAGUCUGAGGCAGCAACGCCGCGUGAGCGAUGAAGGCCUUCGGGUUGUAAAGCUCUUUUCUGGGGACGAGAAAGGACGGUACCUCAGGAAUAAGUCACGGCUAACUACGU